rnacentral:lncRNA from 1 species
CAGCACGGGACGGGCAUUGUGACCCACAGAAGAACGAGACCCAGCAGGGGACACCCCCCACCGCCAUAUAGGUGCUUCCUCUGGGGUCCACCUGACCACACUAGGACCCUCAGUGCACACGCCCCGGGGGGACCGCCCGGACCCCGGGGCCACGAGGGGCCGCGCGGCUGCUCCACCUCCCUUCUCAGAGGCCGAGGCCGCCAAGCGGCGUCUCCACAAGAGCCCUGCCGGCCGGGGCUGUUCUGAGAGGAGCCACGCGGACGCCGUCACGACCACGCAGGCCCGGGGUCCUCGCUCUCCCUUCCCAGCUGCCCGCUCCAGGACGGCCUCAGGGCCCCAACGGCGCCGCUCUGGCCGCGGACACCAGAACUCGCUAGGCCUGAGGAGCCGGCGAGGAAGGCGCCGCGCAGACGCAGGAAAGUUCUCGGGCCCGGGCCGAACUUGCGCCCUCACCUGGCGCACGACCCGCGGGCCCGCCCUUCCUGCCAGUGUCCCCCGCUGCCGCUCGCCGCCUUGUCCGGGGAUCAGGGCUGGAGCCCUGGACGCCCGUCAGCUUAGGGUCUUGCCUCCGAGUCGCUCCUGUGGGUUAUAGAGGCGGCCGCCAGGGGGCGCCCUGCACCCAGCAUGGAAGUCACCUGGCCACUGUGGAUCUCAGGUUCGUGCGGGCGCACCUCCCGCGGGUCAGAAGCCCGACCUUGUCGGGGUCCUGCCGGCUCCUUUCCACCUGUGCUACCUGGCAGCCGUGGGCAGGGCGGUGGUCCCCCGGGCAGCUGAAGGGGUCUCAGAAGCUCCAGACACAGCCUCGCCCCCUGCCGCCUGGAGCAGCAGGCACUGUGAGGCUCCCUGCAGCAGUCGCUCCCUGGCCGCUCCGCGCGCACCCCUGCUGCCCAGGCUCCCGGGGAUCCGGAAAUCCCGGCGGCCAGAAUCCCUGUGGGCGCCUUCGUGGAGAGGACAGGUGUCCGCGUGUCCAUCACAGCAGAUUCAGCAGCAGUGACAGAGACCAACAAGGACGCCAACCAGGUUACCUGUGCGCCCAGCACAGAUCCGGUGUCUGGAACCUCUGCACCCCACAGUAUUCAUAGACACUGGAAUAACUCGCUUACAACGUAACUGUGCAUCAGGAUUUUCAUUAUCACAUAAUUAUUAUUUUCAUUGUGAGCACGCGCGCACAC